UACGUAGGGUGCAAGCGUUAAUCGGAAUUACUGGGCGUAAAGAGCUCGUAGGCGGUUUGUCGCGUCUGCCGUGAAAGUCCGGGGCUUAACCCCGGAUCUGCGGUGGGUACGGGCAGACUAGAGUGCAGUAGGGGAGACUGGAAUUCCUGGUGUAGCGGUGAAAUGCGCAGAUAUCAGGAGGAACACCGAUGGCGAAGGCAGGUCUCUGGGCAUUAACUGACGCUGAGGAGCGAAAGCAUGGGGAGCAAACAGG
rnacentral:rRNA from 1 species